ACGCUGGCUACAGGCUUAACACAUGCAAGUCGAGGGGAAACGACGGGGAAGCUUGCUUCCCCGGGCGUCGACCGGCGCACGGGUGAGUAACGCGUAUCCAACCUGCCUCUGACUGAGGGAUAACCCGUCGAAAGUCGGCCUAAUACCUCAUGGCAUCGUCUGCGGGCAUCCAACGACGAUUAAAGAUUUCAUCGGUCAGGGAUGGGGAUGCGUCUGAUUAGCUUGUUGGCGGGGUAACGGCCCACCAAGGCGACGAUCAGUAGGGGUUCUGAGAGGAAGGUCCCCCACAUUGGAACUGAGACACGGUCCAAACUCCUACGGAAGGCAGCAGUGAGGAAUAUUGGUCAAUGGGCGAGAGCCUGAACCAGCCAAGUAGCGUGCAGGAAGACGGCCCUAUGGGUCGUAAACUGCUUUUAUGCGGGGAUAAAGUGAGGGACGUGUCCUUCAUUGCAGGUACCGCAUGAAUAAGGACCGGCUAAUUCCGUGCCAGCAGCCGCGGUAAUACGGAAGGUCCGGGCGUUAUCCGGAUUUAUUGGGUUUAAAGGGAGCGUAGGCCGUGGAUUAAGCGUGUUGUGAAAUGCAGGUGCUCAACGUCUGCACUGCAGCGCGAACUGGUCCACUAGAGUGUGCACAACGCAGGCGGAAUUCGUCGUGUAGCGGUGAAAUGCUUAGAUAUGACGAAGAACUCCGAUUGCGAAGGCAGCUUGCGGGAGCACAACUGACGCUGAAGCUCGAAAGUGCGGGUAUCGAACAGGAUUAGAUACCCUGGUAGUCCGCACGGUAAACGAUGGAUGCCCGUUGUCAGGCUGUUUCAGCCUGGUGACCAAGCGAAAGCAUUAAGCAUCCCACCUGGGGAGUACGCCGGCAACGGUGAAACUCAAGGAAUUGACGGGGGCCCGCACAAGCGGAG
rnacentral:rRNA from 1 species